ACGAUACAUAGCCGACCUGAGAGGGUGAUCGGCCACACUGGGACUGAGACACGGCCCAGACUCCUACGGGAGGCAGCAGUAGGGAAUCUUCGGCAAUGGGGGCAACCCUGACCGAGCAACGCCGCGUGAGUGAAGAAGGUUUUCGGAUCGUAAAGCUCUGUUGUAAGCGAAGAAGAGUGUUAGGAGUGGAAAGUCUAACACAUGACGGUAGCUUACCAGAAAGGGACGGCUAACUACGUGCCAGCAGCCGCGGUAAUACGUAGGUCUCGAGCGUUGUCCGGAUUUAUUGGGCGUAAAGCGAGCGCAGGCGGUUAGAUAAGUCAGAAGUUAAAGGCUGUGGCUCAACCAUAGUACGCUUUUGAAACUGUUUAACUUGAGUGCAGAAGGGGAGAGUGGAAUUCCAUGUGUAGCGGUGAAAUGCGUAGAUAUAUGGAGGAACACCGGUGGCGAAAGCGGCUCUCUGGUCUGUCACUGACGCUGAGGCUCGAAAGCGUGGGUAGCGAACAGGAUUAGAUACCCUGGUAGUCCACGCCGUAAACGAUGAGUGCUAGGUGUUAGACCCUUUCCGGGGUUUAGUGCCGUAGCUAACGCAUUAAGCACUCCGCCUGGGGAGUACGACCGCAAGGUUGAAACUCAAAGGAAUUGACGGGGGCCCGCACAAGCGGUGGAGCAUGUGGUUUAAUUCGAAGCAACGCGAAGAACCUUACCAGGUCUUGACAUCCCUCUGACCAGUCUAGAGAUAGACUUUCCCUUCGGGGCAGAGGUGACAGGUGGUGCAUGGUUGUCGUCAGCUCGUGUCGUGAGAUGUUGGGUUAAGUCCCGCAACGAGCGCAACCCUUAUUGUUAGUUGCCAUCAUUAAGUUGGGCACUCUAGCGAGACUGCCGGUAAUAAACCGGAGGAAGGUGGGGAUGACGUCAAAUCAUCAUGCCCCUUAUGACCUGGGCUACACACGUGCUACAAUGGUUGGUACAACGAGUUGCAAGCCGGUGACGGCAAGCUAAUCUCUUAAAGCCAAUCUCAGUUCGGAUUGUAGGCUGCAACUCGCCUACAUGAAGUCGGAAUCGCUAGUAAUCGCGGAUCAGCACGCCGCGGUGAAUACGUUCCCGGGCCUUGUACACACCGCCCGUCACACCACGAGAGUUUGUAACACCCGAAGUCGGUGAGGUAACCUUUUAGGAGCCAGCCGCCGAAGGUGGGAUAGAUGAUUGGGGUGAAGUCGUAACAAGGUAGCCGUAUCGGAAGGUGCGGCUGGAUCACCUCCUUU
rnacentral:rRNA from 1 species